rnacentral:lncRNA from 1 species
UACAGUUGGUCUAUUAUAAAAUAAAUCACAAAAGCCCCUUUUAUAGGCAUAUAGAGAGGUGGGGUGAAGAGUCCCAAUGAUCCUGGACUCUUACAGGAUUCCACCUCCCUUCACAUUUCUACAUCCCAACACAUACCAAAAAAAUAUGGAACAUCCCUUUCCAUUUUUUUCUAUGAUAAAUCAAUUCUUCAACUGAUCUUCAAUGAAAAAUCUCUUCAAAAUGUCACACGUAUAAGGAAAAAGAAAUUUAUUGGCAUGGAGAGGUUGAUCUGGAUGAGAACAAAUUUUUUUGAUAAGAAAUAUUUUGAAAUCUAAGUUUAGAAUCUUUCUUUUAUCAAAACUAAUUUAGAUUUGGAUGUAAGAUAGAUAAGAAAAAGAAAUCUUUGGUAUAAAAAUAUCUCACACAAAAUAAUUUUGUGUGUGGAGAUAUAUGGUGUGCAAUCUGGGUUGGUGCAGGGAGAAGAGUCCUAUUCCAAUAAGGGCUCCUAAUUUUCUUAUUUGAAUCUAAACCAAAUCAUAUCUGGUUUAGCCCAAAUAAAAUAUAUAAAACUCAAUAUAAUUAUGUUCAUAAAUUAUUAAUCAAAUUUUAAUCAAAUUAAAAAUUAAUUGAACCAAAAUUCUGAUCAAAUCAGGAAUAAUUCUCCCUUAGCGAUUUGG